GUAUUCCUGCCCUUCUGGAGGAUGGAAUCAAUUUGCUUAUUUAUGCUGGGGAAUAUGAUCUAAUCUGCAACUGGCUUGGUACGUAUUUACUCUUGUCAAGGCAAAGAAUUGAUGAACUUUGCAAUGAAGGGAUUGAUGAACACCUUGCAAUGAGUUUAAGAUCUGUUGUAAAAUUCAAUAUUCAUAUCUAUUAUAGCCUUGCAAUUAAUGGAUUGAUGGACAUUUUCUUGGCAAUGAGUAGGUAAUUCAAGAUGGGUUCACGCCCUGGAAUGGUCUGGUAAGAAAGAAUUUACAACCUCACUUGAAGUUCCUUUUGUUGUUGAUGGGUCAGAAGCCGGAUUAUUGAAG
rnacentral:lncRNA from 1 species